UGAGGAAUAUUGGACAAUGGGUGGAAGCCUGAUCCAGCCAUCCCGCGUGAAGGAUGACGGUCCUAUGGAUUGUAAACUUCUUUUGUACAGGGAUAAACCUGCCCUCGUGAGGGCAGCUGAAGGUACUGUACGCAUAAGCACCGGCUAACUCCGUGCCAGCAGCCGCGGUAAUACGGAGGGUGCGAGCGUUAUCCGGAUUUAUUGGGUUUAAAGGGUCCGUAGGCGGGCCUGUAAGUCAGUGGUGAAAUCUCAUAGCUUAACUAUGAAACUGCCAUUGAUACUGCAGGCCUUGAGUAAAUUUGAAGUGGCUGGAAUAAGUAGUGUAGCGGUGAAAUGCAUAGAUAUUACUUAGAACACCGAUUGCGAAGGCAGGUCACUAAGAUUUAACUGACGCUGAUGGACGAAAGCGUGGGGAGCGAACA
rnacentral:rRNA from 1 species